UUKUCCWYUAAUUCUGRAURAUUSWAWKUACCGMKRACKRAAGAACGGCUWACUCUKGGCMSACAGCCGCGKUAUWCMAGRRGURGCAAGCGUUGUUCGGAUUUUCUGGGCGUAAAGGGUGCGUAGKGGUAUUGKKGUUCGUUSGUGAAASUCACCGCUCACGKGAAAGGKGCGUCCGAAACUACAAAACUAGAGUGCAGGAGAGGAGAGCGGAAUACYUGGUGUAGCGGUGGAAUGCSUUKAGAUCMAGUAGAACACCGGUGGSGUAGGCGGCUCUCUGGAAUGUAACUGACACUGAGGCWCGAAAGUUGGGGGAGCAAACAGGAUUAGAUACCCUGGUAGUCCCAACCCUAAACGRUGUACACUUGUUGUAGGGGGAAUUGACCCCCCCCUGUGACGGAGCUAACGCGUUAAGUGUACCGCCUGGGGAGUACGGUCGCAAGAUUAAAACUCAAAGAAAUUGACGGGGGCCCGCACAAGCGGAGGAGCAUGUGGCUUAAUUYGAUGCAACGCGAAGAACCUUACCAGGGCUUGACAUGUAGCUGGACGACCCAUGAAAGUGGGUUUCCUUCGAGGCUGCUACACAGGUGCUGCAUGGCUGUCGUCAGUUCGUGCCGUGAGGUGUUGGGUUAAGUCCCGCAACGAACGCAACCCCUGUAUUUAGUUGCCACUACCGGUGAUGAAUCGGUAAGCACUCUAGAUAGACUGCCCGUGAUAAGCGGGAGGAAGGUGGGGAUGACGUCAAGUCAGUAUGGCCUUUAUGCCCUGGGCUGCACACGUGCUACAAUGGUCGGUACAGAGGGAAGCUAAGCCGCGAGGUAGAGCAAAUCCCAAAAAACCGGCCCCAGUUCAGAUUGAAGGCUGCAACUCGCCUUCAUGAAGUUGGAUUCGCUAGUAAUGGCGCAUCAGCUACGGCGCCGUGAAUACGUUCCCGGGCUUUGUACACACCGCCCGUCACAUCAUGAAAGCCGUCUGCACCCAACGUCGUUGAUUCAACCCGCAAGGGAGAUAGACGCAUAAGGUGKGGGUGGUGAWUGGGAUGAAGUCGUAACAAGGUAACCGU
rnacentral:rRNA from 1 species